rnacentral:lncRNA from 1 species
CUCCGCCUAUGAGUGUAUACAACUUGAAAUUGAGGACUCCAGUCCAAACUCAGCAUUGCGAACUUU